AGUAGACUAGCUACGUCACAGCGCCUGCGUCACUCACCUCUCUUCAUCCCAUUACGUAGGCAGUUUCACAUCUCACAACGUCACAAGAAGGCUUUCACUGCAUCUUUGGUGGAACAGUGUGACCUGAAGCUCUUCACAGCAGAUAUCAUCAUGUAAUACUUACUCUUUCGUGGCAUGACCUCAGUUGGUGUCAAGGUUUCAGAAGCCCAUGCAAUACGUCACACAUUCCUGACUCAAAAUUCUUGCCCACCAUGUAAAGGGGUUGCACGUUACAAGGAGCCUGGAAGAAACUGCCAGUGCACACUCUGAAGGACUUGUGUGGAACGCUUGGUGUUACGGGGAGACUGCUCGUAUAGAAAAGAGUUCAAACACAGUCCAUGGUGACCGUGAACAUGCCGAACUGGAUGGAGAUGAUACGACAAUUGGGUCUUCUGCAAGAGCUUCUCGGAUUCAGAGUAAAGGUGGGAUGCUGAAAGAUGUGCCCUAGAUCUUGUUGACAGAAACCCCAGUUUUGUACAACUAUCCACACAUCUCCUAUGUGACUCAGUGGAGGAUGUGUCCAUUUCUAGUCUCAGAGUGGAAGCUAGUUUGACAAAGCCUACCAGCCCCUGGUAUUUCUUUGGUUUUUUUUACUCCUUUAUCCUGUGUUGCUACCUCCUUUUCUGGAGCUGAAUUAAGACAUAAUAAUGAUUUGGAACUCCUCAGAAACAACUCACCUCACAAAUGAUCUUUGAUAUAAAUAGUUCACUAAGACAACAAGUGAACAAACAACAUCAGCAUAAUUCCAUAGGUUGUAUAGCCUCCUGGCAAACCUACACAGCUUCCUUGCUGGGGAAGGAUGGAUCAGUAAGAAAGAACACUGUUGGAAAAUGUUCUACAUUUCAGGCAUGUUUUACUUUUUAUUCUUUUAACAAAUGUCCCUCUGAGAAUUUAAGGCUUUUUGAAAGUGAUACAUUAAGACUAAAAUUUACUGCAUAAGAUACGUUCUUGGGCAUGUCAACUUCUGAUGUCUAAUUGAAGUGACAUCAGUUUCUGAUGACUUCAUAAUAACUAUCUUCAAACCAAUGUUGAUUUAAUAGACUUUACUAAGUACUCAUGCAUGUAAUUCUUUCUAACUCAGAAAAAUGAAUGUAAUUUUUAUAGCUUCUGGAUGAUACAUUUUAAAUAAAUAUUAUUACAAUGAUGAUUCUCUUUGCCUCAAAUAAAAUGGUCUAUUUAUGAGGAUGAGGAUUGGGUUUCCUUUGGAAAAAAGUGGAGAGUCUUCACUCAAAGUAAAGAUGUACACAGAAAUAGCUGGAACAGAAAAAGUUCCCAAACAUAGAAGAAUACAUAAACUUGGUAGAAAAUUCAAGGAAAGAAUUCAGAGUCAUUGAAUCCAAUAGUGUUUAGAAGCAAGUAUAGAAUCUGGUAUAUAAAACUUACAAUCUGGAAUGAAGUUAACAAGAAUAAGUACAAGAGAGUCCAGCAAAUUGGAAGGUGAAAAGAGAAGAGGGCUUGAGGAGCUACUUCUUAGAGCAUCUUUUAACUUUUUUCCCCUAUGAUAGGAGUUGCAAAUCUUUGUGCAUCUAAGUUAGUUCCAUAACCUGCUCAUCAAUAGACUGGUUCUUAUCACUGGCCAAAAUAAAGCUGUGACUCUAGGGAGUUAUUGUAUCUGGCGUCAUCUGGCUUGGGUUACUUCUAGAGUGCAAUGACAUCCUUAUCCCCAUGUAGACAAGAACUGACCACAUUGCCAAUAAAACUAAUGUCAUGGGUAGAAUCCAAUGUUCUGAAGAUUUGUGUCUAAGCUGGGUCAGUGCCCUUAAUAGUUUCCACUCUGCCUACUUCUGAAACUGCAGGGUACCUUUUAAAAAUGUCUGCAGAAUGUUUUUUAUUCAGUGGAGUUCUCCUAAGUUCCACCUCUGCCCUUCCUCCCUAGGUCCUCCCUUGACUUAUUUCCAUGAUUUCCAUUAUCCUGCUUUGUAUUUAGUUAUUCAUUCAAUAAAUAUUUAUUGGGUCCCUAAAAAAAGCCAAGUAUUGUGAGACAUUGUUAAGGAUGCUAGGUAUACAAUAGUGAGGAAAUAGAUUGUGACCUUCCAUCAUGAUGUUUAUAGUUUGAGGAGGGAUGCAGGCAAAAGAAGAAGAAGGAGAAGGAGGAGGAGAAGGAGGAGAAGGAGGAGGAGGAGGAGGAGGAGGAGAAGGAGGAAGAGGAGGAGGAGGAGAAGAUACUCUCUCUCUGCCCCUUCCCUACUUGCUCUCUUUCUCUCUCUCAAAAUAAAUAAAUAAAAACUUUAAAAAAUGCAUCCCCCAUUGCUAUGGUAUUCACUAUCAUCCUUACUCACUAUCUAUUCUAAAUGCUCCCCAACCUCAGCUACCACCUCUGCAGAUCUUGGUUUUUUAGUUUAUGAUGUAAUCUUAGCCCUCAUUCCUGUUAUACCCAAAUCCCUGGUAAUAACAACCAUCUUAGGUCACGGCUGUGGUAUGGUCAUAGUUCUAAUUGGGUAAGGGAGUGGGUCAUCCUAAGUGAACCAAGUGAAACACCUAGGUUCCAACUAUAUUCUUCACUUCACUCAUUGUGUGAAAAAAAGCACUAUAUUCUCAUGAUGGUCAAAAUCAAAUGUCCCUGCCACUAAUGUUGACUCUUCUUCUUGCCUGUUGGUCUUCGAAUACAAUAAGCCCAAAGUGCCUAGGGGACAACUAUGAUAUGUAGUUCAGUGGGAACUGUGGUGUGUUCUUUGGCUAGAGUGUGCUCCUUUGGGAACCAGGACUUUUAACCAAGAGUUGUGGGUAUGGAAAGUUCCUCAGUGGAUCAUUAGGGAUGAUGAUAAUUGAGGUCAUUCAUGCUUCCAUUCCUUAUUGCCCUAACUUAUGUGUUCUUCCUAUUAGAAACAUAGCACAAUAUUGGAAUUCUCUAAUUUAGUGCAGCAUUAAGGAAUAAGGGAGAAGGAAAAUCUUACUAGUGGGUAGAACAGAAAGUGGUGAAUCUGAUCAUUUAUGCUGUAUGAAAGAGAAAGUGGUUGGUGCUAGUAUAUAUGUAGAUUCUGGGCAAUGGCCAAUGGUCUGAAUGUCUGAUCAGAGAUACAGAAGAAAGAAAUAUGGUAGUGGCAUAUGAAAGUAGAAAUAAAACAUGAAGAUUUUUUGUAUCACAUCUUAAUGUCUACUGGAAAGCAUUAACCACAGAAGAUGCACUAAAUAACCAAGAAUACAACUCAUCUCAUUGAUAUUAGCCUGUCAUCAGUAGCAGCAACCCCAGAACUAACACAAGGGUAAGUGAUAGGAAUAGCAAUGGUAGAAGAAAUGUAGGAUAUACAUGAGUCCAACAGCAUAGACUUCUACUUCCUAUGACUAUUAUAGCUGUUGUCAUUUCUGAAUGCCCAGCCUACCAACAUUGUAUUCCCAAUAUGACACCAUUACUUAAGAGGAUUAGUUGGUGGCCAGUUGACUACAUUGGGUCUCUUCCAUCCUGAGAGAGCUAGUGGUUAGUACUCAUAGGGACAGAUAACUCCUAUAACUCCUAUAAGUAACGUACAACAGCCAUUUCUUAAAUGUGGCAGGAAUAGAGUCAUCACCUGCUUUUGGCUUUAAUCACAUACGUGGCCAAUUGGCAUGUGAAGGUUGGGUUUUUUCCCUUCUUCAUUAAGCCUGUCCAUGGGACCCAGAUGGCCUUACGUAUGAGCUGAGGGAGGGAUGCUGUUGCAACUUUGGGAUGUGACAUGGGUGACUGGACUAACAUGCCCUCUGGCCAUGGUUGGACUUGAUGCACAUGCAACAUUUCCAUCUCACAGUGUGUGCAUUCUGGGUCUACCCAAUUUUAUGAAUAUUUGGGACUGACAGAAUUGGGGCAAAAUGACUGGGCUUUUAUACUCCUGCCUACCUUAGGCACCAGAUAUAGGUUGCUCUAGGAAAAUUGUGACUGCAGAGGUGGCUUUCCUGCUGGUGAUCCUGCUUUCCUGAGAAGAAAGGACAUUCCAAACUGAGCUAUUAGAAUAGGUGUGGAAAGUUAUAGGGUGUGGAAAACGAUGGCAUUUUUAGGUGAUAAUAAAUGUUUAUAUGUUUUUAGAGCAUAAAGUACAAGGAAGAAAGAUGUUGAAGAUGCCACAGAGGACUUGUGUAUGCAAAGCUAUAUAAUGAUUGUGAACAUGAAAUAAUGAUUAUGACUCUUUUAUUGAGUGAUUAUUCUGUAUUAUUUAUAAUAUUCUCAUUUAUUCCUGAGGUUGCCAAGAUAUUAUUAUUGACAAUUUAUAUAUCAAGAACAAGGUUCACAGAGAAUAAGUUAUUCCCAAGAUCAUAUAUUUAGUACAUAGAAAAUCCAGGAUUUGAACUUCUUUUGUUUUUAAAUCCUAUUUUGUAUCACAAAAACAUUCAUUAGUUGACUGAGAGCAUGAGAAUCACAUGGUCAAACUUUCAAUUAAGACAGAUAAUUCUAUGGGGAAAAAUAUGGGAAUGUUAGAUAUGUUAGAAAUAAGAGGAUUGGACAGAGGCCAUAAUGAAAGUCUAGGUGUGAGAUAUGAUAAAGGCGUGGCCAAAGGCAAUGAGAGUGGGGGUGGAGAGGAGGGGUUAGAAUUGAAAACAAAACCAAAAACAAAGUAAAGUUAUCAAGACAGUGAGAAUGACAGAAAGUAGAGGUUUCAGAGAGUGAGGAAUGAAGACUGGCUUCAUAUUUCUAUUUUAGGGGAUAUUGUGAAUGGUGGUGCUAUCAAUAAAAGCUAUAGUUUUGGAUAUAAUUAUUUGUGUAUAUGUGUGCUUCUUACAUUGAAAUGUGGUCAGAGACUACUGAUUAUUUCCGUGUUCCAGCCCUUACUGUAGCACCAGGCUCAAUCUGUAAGUGUGGAUAAGAAUGUACUUUACUGAUAAUAAUUUAAUUACCACCAUUAUAACAUGAAAUUAUUAGUUGAGUCAAUAUCUUCAAGGAUAAUGGCUAAUUGAGGAAUAUAAAGAACAUUUAUAAUAUGUCUUCAUCACAAUUUUCAUUCUGUAGAAGUAUAAUUUCUCUUUAUUGAGGAUUCCUAUAUUUAUCUUUUUUUCUAGUACGUCUAGUUUUAAGAUAUUUUUUCAACGUUUAUUUUUAUUUU